UUUUUUUUAAAUAUUAAAUAAAUGGAUACAAAUAUUGGCAGAUGAUAUCAGUAGGGAAUCAAACUGUAUUUUCCCAGUGGUUGAUCCUUUCCUCAUCUUCUAAGUUUCUCCCCUCAUAUUCUAUGCUCAUUUAGGUCAGUCUGCUUCCUGGACUCUGUAGAGUGUUCCAUACGGCACGAACUUACUUUAACUUUACAGUAGUCUUACAUUUGAUCCAUACUGCUCUUUUAAAAAGAGAAAAUUUACUCUUCCAGCUUAAUUUUAGAGUAACUGGGCCAAGCCAAUGCUCCCUGCCAAGAGCACGUCACUCCUGCAGGGAGCUGCAGUCCACGCACUUAGCUUGGCAAGACAAUGGCUACAGGCAAGGUUCUCCGGUUCUCCAUGAAGGUGCUGUUCUGUCUGCUUCCUACGGAAUCUAUUCCUGUUCCUUUAUGUUGUCACCAUUGUAAGUGAGAUCUUUUUUUUUUACUUAAUAUUGUUAACUGAAAAUCUAAACAUGUUUAAAUUGUAUCUUUUUGUUGUGGCAAAAUAUGUAACAAAAUGUAACGUCUUAACCAUUUUUAAGUGUGCAAUUUAGUGGCACUGAGAACAUUCACAUCGCUAGACAACCCUCACCACCAUCCAUCCGUCUCUGUAACUGAAUUCUGAGGCCAUACAGGACCAUCACUGGGAUUUGUAUAUACAUUUCACAAAUGGCCACUAUUCUCUUUUAUUGGUUCUAAUAGAUUUUUACUGAUCCUGAGGUCAUCGGGAUGGAUCAACUGUUCUCAAAAAGAGUCCCAGCCCCACGGAGACCAUGCUCUGUUUCCCACAAAGGCUCAGGGGUUCCAGUGGCAGCAAGAUUUACUGCAAUGAUCAGGACGGUCUCUGAAAACAAAGAAUCCCAGCCAAUUUUCAAGUGUCCUGUCGGAAUUCAUGGUUCUAAUUUCCUUAUCCUUCACGACGACGUCACCCAGAAUUCUAAGAAUGCUGCUGAAGUACAACGGUGCUGGCCAGCAUCCCUAUCCUGAGGUUUCAACAGUGAAUCGCGUUCAAGAUCUUCUAGACCUAGUCUAUUAGUAGUUACAUCUGGAACGAAGGUGAAAUUUUAUCAAGUCUUUCCGAUAUCUACUGCAACAAUCAAAUCGCUUUUCUUCUUUCAUCUGCUGCUGUGGUGAAUAUAUAUUAAUACAUUUUUUCAAUCUUCAAAUAAACCCUGUUUGCUCAGCUA